UGAGGAAUAUUGGUCAAUGGGCGAGAGCCUGAACCAGCCAAGUCGCGUGCAGGAUGACGGCCCUAUGGGUUGUAAACUGCUUUUAUGUGGGGAUAAAGUGCGUGACGUGUCAUGCAUUGCCGGUACUACAUGAAUAAGGACCGGCUAAUUCCGUGCCAGCAGCCGCGGUAAUACGGAAGGUCCGGGCGUUAACCGGAUUUAUUGGGUUUAAAGGGAGCGUAGGCUGUCUAUUAAGCGUGUUGUGAAAUUUACCGGCUCAACCGGUGGCUUGCAGCGCGAACUGGUCGACUUGAGUAUGCAGGAAGUAGGCGGAAUUCAUGGUGUAGCGGUGAAAUGCUUAGAUAUCAUGACGAACUCCGAUUGCGCAGGCAGCUUACUGUAGCAUAACUGACGCUGAUGCUCGAAAGUGCGGGUAUCAAACAGG
rnacentral:rRNA from 1 species